rnacentral:rRNA from 1 species
GACGAACGCUGGCGGCGUGCUUAACACAUGCAAGUCGAACGGAAAGGCCCUGCUUUUGUGGGGUGCUCGAGUGGCGAACGGGUGAGUAACACGUGAGUAACCUGCCCUUGACUUUGGGAUAACUUCAGGAAACUGGGGCUAAUACCGGAUAGGAGCUCCUGCUGCAUGGUGGGGGUUGGAAAGUUUCGGCGGUUGGGGAUGGACUCGCGGCUUAUCAGCUUGUUGGUGGGGUAGUGGCUUACCAAGGCUUUGACGGGUAGCCGGCCUGAGAGGGUGACCGGCCACAUUGGGACUGAGAUACGGCCCAGACUCCUACGGGAGGCAGCAGUGGGGAAUAUUGCACAAUGGGCGGAAGCCUGAUGCAGCAACGCCGCGUGCGGGAUGACGGCCUUCGGGUUGUAAACCGCUUUCGCCUGCGACGAAGCGUGAGUGACGGUAAUGGGUAAGGAAGCACCGGCUAACUACGUG